UCCUACGGGGGGCAGCAGUGGGGAAUAUUGCACAAUGGGGGAAACCCUGAUGCAGCAACGCCGCGUGAGUGAAGAAGGUUUUCGGAUUGUAAACCUCUGUGGAGGGGGACGAUAAUGACGGUACCCCUUUAGGAAGCCACGGCUAACUACGUGCCAGCAGCCGCGGUAAUACGUAGGUGGCGAGCGUUGUCCGGAAUUACUGGGUGUAAAGGGAGUGUAGGCGGGAAAGCAAGGCAGAAGUGAAAACUAUGGGCUUAACCCAUAGCCUGCUUUUGAAACUGUUUUUCUUGAGUGAAGUAGAGGCA
rnacentral:rRNA from 1 species